rnacentral:rRNA from 1 species
UACGGAGGGUGCAAGCGUUAUCCGGAUUCACUGGGUUUAAAGGGCGCGUAGGCGGGAUGGCAAGUCGGUCGUGAAAUCCUUCGGCUCAACCGAAGAACGUCGAUCGAUACUGCUGUUCUUGAGGGUUGCAGAGGAGACUGGAAUUCCCGGUGUAGCGGUGAAAUGUGUAGAGAUCGGGAGGAACACCGGUGGCGAAGGCGGGUCUCUGGGCAAUUCCUGACGCUGAGGCGCGAAAGCGUGGGGAGCAAACGGG